AAAAACUUUUCCCAGUCGGUACACACGCGCGUGGUUUGUUCGCUACUCAGUUCGGCAGCUCUCGAUAUUUUUUAGUGUUCUCUCCUAUCCUCGCAUCACCGCGAAUUCGCAGCAGUUUACCAAUAAAAUAUUAUUCGCUAGUUUUACUUUUCCGCUGAUUCCGCCGGAUUUUAGCACUCGGAUUUCGCUGAUCAGAGUUGUUUGCUCGGGUCGGUUUCGCUUGCAGUUUGCGGUGCGCUACGACGGAAGUGCUGCUCCGACCGGAGAACCAACGCCGACCAAUCGGGUGUGCGCGAGUGACUUGGUCAUUGUUCCGAUAAUCGAAAGGGGGUUCAUCGAAAGUGAAUUUUGGCUCUGGAAGUGAGGCGAUUUUUCCGCUGAAUAGUGUGCAAUAGUUUCAAGUUUGUUGGUAGAAAGCAGAUAGUGCAGACCAGGUGCAACAACUAAGUUGUGAGGCAAGCCGGGAUAAUUAAUUAUCGAGCGCAAGGUGUCCCCAACAGCAGCCACUUCAGGAAGUUUCCAGCAUACCCUUUCGGGGAAGUAUUGUAAUCCAACGUCAGCAAGGAACCGAGAACCGGCAAAUUUGUGUAAGAAUUCAUCACACGCAAUCGCCAUCGCUUCAUCUCAUCUGCUCGGAGUGUGUUUUGAGUGUGAGUGUGUGCAGCAUUUGCACAGGUUGCUGCCAACAAGCGUUAGUAAGAAGUUGCAGCAGUGGUAGACAAGUAGAUUGGCAAUUUUUGCAAACAACUGUCUCCCGGUUGAGUUCUGCUGGCAAGCUAUCUCGCGCCAGACAAGUGAUUUUUCUUGCAAAAUGAAGCGAAAGUAUCAGAAUGUAGCGGCCAUGAUGUCCUGCCCCUUCCAUUACCAUUACCACUUCUUCCACCAGCUUUGCACGCAGAUUUCCUCCGGUCCACAUCGGAGUUAAGG